ACUGAACGCUGGCGGCAGGCCUAACACAUGCAAGUCGAGCGGGGUUUUCGGACCUAGCGGCGGACGGGUGAGUAAUGCGUAGGAAGCUGCCCGAUAGAGGGGGAUACCAGUUGGAAACGACUGUUAAUACCGCAUAAUGUCUACGGACCAAAGUGUGGGACCUUCGGGCCACAUGCUAUCGGAUGCGCCUACGUGGGAUUAGCUAGUUGGUGAGGUAAUGGCUCACCAAGGCGACGAUCUCUAGCUGGUUUGAGAGGAUGAUCAGCCACACUGGAACUGAGACACGGUCCAGACUCCUACGGGAGGCAGCAGUGGGGAAUAUUGGACAACGGGCGCAAGCCUGAUCCAGCCAUGCCGCGUGUGUGAAGAAGGCCUUCGGGUUGUAGAGCACUUUCAGCGAGGAGGAAGGGUGGUGUGUUAAUAGCACAUCAUUUUGACGUUACUCGCAGAAGAAGCACCGGCUAACUCUGUGCCAGCCGCCGCCGUAA
rnacentral:rRNA from 1 species